AGGGUUAUAGCUCAGUGGUAGAGUGUGCGCUUAGCACGGCAAGGUCCUGGGUUCAAUCCCCAGUACCUCCA
rnacentral:tRNA from 1 species